CCUACGAGAGGCAGCAGUGAGGAAUAUUGGUCAAUGGACGAGAGUCUGAACCCGCCAAGUAGCGUGAAGGAUGACUGCCCUAUGGGUUGUCACCUUCUUUUAUAUGGGAAUAAAACGUUCCACGUGUGGGAUUUUGUAUGUACCAUAUGAAUAAGGAUAGGCUAACUCCGUGCCAGCAGCCGCGGUAAUACGGUGGAUCCGAGCGUUAUCCGGAUUUAGUGGGUUUAAAGGGAGCGUAGGUGGUUUGUUAAGUCAUUUGUGAAAGUUUGCGGCUCAACCGUAAAAUUGCAGUUGAAACUGGCAGUCUUGAGUACAGUAGAGGUGGGCGGAAUUCGUGGUGUAGCGGUGAAAUGCUUAGAUAUCCGAAGAACGCCGAUUGCGAAGGCAGCUCACUGGACUGCAACUGACACUGAGGCUCGAAAGUGUGGGUAUCAAACAGGAUUAGAUACCCCCGUAGUC
rnacentral:rRNA from 1 species